rnacentral:rRNA from 1 species
AUGGCUUUGUGGGCGCGCCUUCUUAACAGCGAAAAUGCAUACAGAAUGAUCCUAAAGUUAAUCACAUUGGUUCCACCUGGUGAAAAAGUUGGGUUCGAAGGAGGAUCGUACACCAAUCUGUGGACAGCACACAUAAGAACAGUAGCAGUAGUACUACUACUAGCAGUAGUACUACCAAAAGAAAGGAAAGAACAUAACAUGAAUUUGGCUAAGCCAAGCAUGAUCUUGCUUGCAUUGCCGCCUUUGCUACAUGAAGCAAUAGGGCCAACAGAGAGGAUGUUCUUACAAGGGAGCAAGAAGCCUGCCGCCAUGGCCCUAGGGUUUGCAGGUGAGGGGGUGGAGGAGAAGGGAGGAAUCACCAUGCAUAGGUUGGGGAGGGAGGAAGGAUGGAGAGGGGGGAAGGAGGAAGGAGGAGAGGUACCUGGGCAGGCGCGGCCGGUCGCCGGAGGGGUCAGGGUCGGGGUUGGGAUCGGGGUCGGCGGCGACGGCGUCGUCGAAGGGAUGCCUCAGUUGGCCGUGGGAAGGCCGGCGGCCGCGGUCGUCGUCCUGCACCCCGUGCCUGGACUGAGGAAGACGCCGGCAAAUUCCUUUGAAGUUGAAGAGCUCAAUUGGGAAGAAGAAAUUCAAUUUGAUCCAGGUAAAAGGAGAAGCAUAGAUGAGUACCAUCCGAAUCAGAGAGAUAUGGUAAGAAGGAAGUAUUUGGCCAAUGACCCUUCUCAACCUCGUACAGCAGAUUUUGAAGUGACAGAAAUAUGUGGUAAAGAUAGAAGACCGCGCAAGAAGAAAGAAGUUGGAUAUGAUGCAUUUUUUGCAAAUGGUUGUUCAAGUUGGAAUAAGAAAUAUAGAUUAAGGGAGCAUUCUUUUGAUUUUGUGUUCUACUUACAACUUAUGUCAACUAUAUUGAUAAUCAAAAACACAUUAUCAUUGGCCCUACAACACAAGAAUCAGGACAUUGUGAAUGCCAUAAAUUGUGUGAAUUCAACCAAAGCCUCCUUGAAUGAUCUAAGGGGAAAGGGAUGGGAAUCUGUCCUACAAGAAGCAUAUGUCUUUUGUGACAAGCAUGACAUUUCCAAGUUGGAAAUGGAAGACCAAUAUGUGAAUCCAAAGAAGCCACGGCAAAAAACAGGUAUCACUAAUAGGCAUCAUUAUGAAGUGGAUUGUUUUAAUGAUGUUAUUGAUUGGCUGCUUCAAGAACUUGAUAAUCGCUUCAAUGAGAAAAAUUCGGAACUACUUGUUUUCUCAGCGGCUUUGAGCCCAAAUGAAUCAUUUCGUGAUUUCAACUUAGAGCAUUUGAUGAGUCUAGCUAAACUUUAUCCAAAAGAUUUCGAUGAUGGAGAACUGAGGGACCUUAGACAUCACCUUCAUCUUUACAUUGCUGAUGUCCGAGCAGAUGAUCGCUUCUCUGGUUUAAGUAAUAUUUGUGAGCUCUCUCAAAAAAUGGUGGAGACAAAAAAACAUAUUGUCUAUCCCUUGGUUUAUCGACUUUUGAAGCUAGCACUAGUAUUGCCUGUUGCCACUGCUACAGUUGAGAGAUCUUUUCCAGCUAUGAGAAUUGUGAAGAUAUAUUUGCGCAAUCGUCUUGGUGAUGACUCCUUGAAGUACAACCUUAUUUGUUAUGUGGAGAAAAGCGAAAUGAGGAAGGUUACUAAUGAUGCGGCAAUCAAGAUCUGA